CCUUCAGAAACGUGAUCCGUGCAACCGUUUCACUGUUGGUUUUAUUUGUCAUUCGUAGAUGCGAUUUCUCUUGAACUCACCCCGACCUCAAGGUUGCCUCCACCACCAUGGAAGAGAUUCAACCAGAACGCAGACGUCAACUUCCAGCUUGAAGGUGUUCUUUCCUCGACUUGCAAGGAUUUCGGCAGCCACGAGAAUGUGAGGAUCACGAUUUUGAUGCGGUGGUGUUAUUCCAUCAAACUUCCAGACACGAUGAGGGCUUCAAAUUUAUUAAUUCUUUGGUUGAACCUCAUGAGUAUAUAUUCUUUUCUAUUGUUUGUGUCACCUUCUCACUCUAAACUGCUAUUUUACUUUUUUGCGGGAUGUUCAUUAAGACUUGCAAAAGGCUGAAAAUGCUUUGAUGCCACUGGCUUAGGUAUGUAUUCUCGGUGAUGUACAGUUUCAGGAUACUCUUGAAUUAUGAUAUCUUUUUAAUGUUUAAAUCAAUUGAGCAUUUUGUGUUGUUUGUGCUUAUGAAGUUGCAUGUCUUAUUAGGAACUUUUCCUUUCUUCCCGAUUUAGUUUCAUUCUAUUUUAGUUGGACUAGAUCAUAAUAACCCAAGCCACUACAGUAUCUGCUCUCAACAACAUUUAGUCUAAAACCAACAGGUGUUGGUUUCCAACCGGUUGCUUAAACGGUUACUAUGUGUCUUCAGUUAAAUCGUUGAAUCUAUGGGUCUGUCCUUUCAAAGUUUUCUUUUAUGGUUCUGUUCUAUUUGAUUUUAAGUUAUCAGCCCCUUGGUUCUGUUCAUUAGAACUAGGAGUUGAUAAUUUGUGGAGUUACAAAGAGUUAGGCUUAGUCUUCCUACCCUGUUUUUUUUUUCUUUUACUGCAAAAUGGAUUGGCUGCUUUAGCAUAGUUGGAGGUUCUUCCCUUGUCAAAUUUAGGUUAAAUUCAGUGUUUGGAACAUUUUAAUGAUCAGUUGUUGUUUCAUUUCUACUUACAAAUGAUUUUUUUUUAAAUAGAACUACUUGGAGGUUUCAAUUUGAAUAAGCCAUAGGAUUGGGCCACUGCAUAUAUGUUUCAUGAUUUGUGAGAGAAACAUUUAUCUCAUAAUGAUCAAGGGUUUAAAGAAAGAAUUGAACUCUGAUAUUCUAUUCCCUUAGUUCUUAAGUAGCUUAAUUGUAGAACGAUUGUCUGCUAUUGUUAUCUGACCUAUAGUAGAAUUAGGACUAUCAAUUAUUGUUAAUAUUGAAUUUUCUCCGUGCAUUGCACUUUUUUUUGUCAAUGAAAGUUUAUUAAUCAAAAGAUAUUAGCAUGUUUUAUGUGCUUCUCCAUUUAGGAUCCAUGAGUACUUGAUGCAUGUAAAUGUUAUCUCUGAAUUUUUAUUUUGUUCUCAUAUAUGUUUUAAUGGGUUUUUUAGCCUGAUUUCUAUCAUGAGUUACAUUAUGCUACAGGUGGAAGAGCCCAAACAUGCUCACACAUCUCUUCGGUUAAAUGCCAAUCAAAGUUUAGAUUCAUUAACCCCUCCUUUUCUUGAAGGUUUUUUAUAUAGGUUAAAUGCCAGUGACCGCUAAGAAGUCAAUGAUGAUGUUUGAUAUUGGGUGCAAUGUGGAAAGGAACCAUGUUUGAUAAAAACAACCUAGGAAUACUUCCGUAUGCAGUUCACGUGUAAGUUUUGGAGACCUUGAGAGUACUUGAAGGUUAACAAUAGCAACAUUAAGUGUACAAAUUAUUUUGGGACUCAUUCUGUCAAGGGUCAUUUAUUCUAGGUAAGCUUAUGAGACUUUAUCAAUGAGGUCAUGACUGUUUGGCCUCAUUUUAAGGAGGCAAACAUCCUUCCUUUGAUCAUUUAAGCUGAAGGCUCCUUUGGGGCGCUUGAAGAAGAGGAACCACUGUUGAAGGAGGUGAUGCCAGAAUUAGGGACAAUCAUGUCAAUGAUCUAACCAGUGCAUGAGUUAAGGAGUGACAAUGUCCGAUGAUUAAUGAUAGCUAAUCAAUCUUUCAUAGGCUUUAGAACAAGAACAAACAUUUACAUAUUUGAAAAUAACACUCUUCUGGCUUUCAAAAAUAAUUUUUCUAAGACUGUA